GGGGAAGUGGCGAAACCGGCAGACGCAGCGGACUUAAAAUCCGCAGCCCUUCGAUGGGCGUGAGGGUUCGAGCCCCUCCUUCCCCA
rnacentral:tRNA from 2 species